AGACUGUUCAAUUCAAUAAUUUGUUAUGUGUUUACAAUUAGAAAAGAUGAUUGUGGUACUGACUGGGAACUAUUAAUUUUGUAUUUUUCCUGCCUUAUUACUGAAGUUGCAGGUUCUCACUUCAAUAAUCUCAGGAACUGGGUAAGAUCUUUAUCAGAUGCAUUUAUUACCCUCGUACUGAAAGGUUGUUGCAUCAAAUUUCGGCUUCCUUUCACCGUGUUUCUAGGGCACUGACUUCUUACCGUGUUACUAAUAUUAGUUUAUGUUUUAAGUCAUUAUUUGUAAUCAAUUUUGCGUUGCAUUCCUUGCUCCUUUAUCUUUCUCUAUCCAUCUCUCUUUGUUAGAAAUCUACAAUGUGUGCAGGUAACAGUGCCGUCUUUGAUUUCAUGAUCGAGAGAACUAUUGAGUGCUAGAAUGCCAUCUGCCAUGUACUGAUGAACCUGCAUGCCGCCAAGCUGCAAUUGUUCAACAUGGAAUUAUGCCAAUUAUGGAGAUUCAAGGGCAGCUCUCUGCAAUGUAAAACUUGCAUGCCAUUGUAGCGUUGACAACAACAAUAUGGGCAUGCUGGGAAUCAGGGAUAGAAGUUGCAGGAAGCAAAGUAAUACUGUACAUACGAAUUUAGCAUAAAAAAUAUGACCCGAAAAACUGUAGUCAAUAAGGAAUUUUAUU